CACUAUUUAAGCAGAGGAUAGAAUGGGCUUGGAUAGCCUUUACUACAGACUGGUUUUCACACAAGGUACAGUAGACACAGUUAUUUAAUCAGAGGAUAGAAUGGGCUUGGAUAGCCUUUACUACAGACUGGUUUUCACACAAGGUACAGUAGACAGUUAUUUAAUCAGAGGAUAGAAUGGGCUUGGAUAGCCCUUACCACAGACUGGUUUUCACACAAGGUACAGUAGACACUAUUUAAGCAGAGGAUAGAAUGGGCUUGGAUAGCCUUUACUACAGACUGGUUUUCACACAAG
rnacentral:lncRNA from 1 species